GACCCUUGCUCUUUUCUGAUUAUUCCUUUCAGUUUUGAAUAAUGCUCAAUGAUUACUAAUAAUCAUUUUACCACUAAUUGCUCCAUUUAAUACGACCAUGAUUGCUGCCUAACCCUGCUGUUUUGGAAUCCUUUUCUGAAUAUUUGCCUUUUAUGCUUACUGGAAUACGUAACUGAAAAAAAGAUAUGCCAACUGGUGAUGACUUCUGGUUUGCAUUUCCCCUUCUAAUUAAUCAUAUAAUUGGUUUGAUCAUGAUAUGCUUGCUGUUUAUGUUGCUGCCAACUAGAAUUUGAUUCCUCUGUUACGAACCCACUUUCUGGUUUAACCACAUAGAUAGACUGAGAAGUUUGGUUCUACAUUGUGUUUCCAAGAAGAAAUGGACUGUUUAAGAUAUUCAGACCACUUUAUCUCUUCUUGUUGCGCUCCUUGUAAUGGUAAUUGCUCAUGAGCAUCUUUAUUAUCAGCAUUCACCGAUUCUUCCCUUCCCAUGUUACGGUGCUAUUAUUUCUAAGUAAGUUUGUGCUAUUUUUACACUGCAUAGUGCUGUCAUUAUUCCCAUCAAUGUCACAAGAAGGAUUGUUUGCUGAAUAAUUUGUAUGCAUUGCAGGCUAUUAGUUGCAACAUAUCAGUCAUA
rnacentral:lncRNA from 1 species